CCUGUUCCAGCCAUGCCGCGUGUGUGAAGAAGGCUUCGGGUUGUAAAGCACUUUUAUCCGGAAAGAAAAGCGCUGGGUUAUACCCUGGUGUUCUGACGGUACCGGAAGAAUAAGCACCGGCUAACUUCGUGCCAGCAGCCGCGGUAAUACGAAGGGUGCAAGCGUUACUCGGAAUUACUGGGCGUAAAGCGUGCGUAGGUGGUUUGUUAAGUCUGAUGUGAAAGCCCGGGGCUCAACCUGGGAAUUGCAUUGGAUACUGGCAGGCUAGAGUGCGGUAGAGGGUAGUGGAAUUCCCGGUGUAGCAGUGAAAUGCGUAGAGAUCGGGAGGAACAUCCGUGGCGAAGGCGACUACCUGGACCACCACUGACACUGAGCACGANACGUGGGGACAACAAGAUUAAAUNCCUGGUANUCCACCCCUAACGAUGCGAACUGNAUGUUGG
rnacentral:rRNA from 1 species